rnacentral:rRNA from 1 species
AAAGCUCGUAGUUGAAUUUCUGGUCUCGAGACGCGGCCAGCCUCAAGGGGCGAUGCUGUGGAUCGGGACCAUCCUCGAGGAGAACAUAUCUGUCAUUGAGUUGAUGGGUAUGGGACCCUCGUCAUUUACUGUGAGCAAAAUAGAGUGUUCAAAGCAGGCUUACGCCGUUGAUACAUUAGCAUGGAUAAUAAGAUAGGAGG